AGCACAGGUAGCAAUACCGGGUGGCGACCGGCGCACGGGUGAGUAACGCGUAUGCAACUUGCCUAUCAGAGGGGAUAACCCGGCGAAAGUCGGACUAAUACCGCAUGAAGCAGGGAUCCCGCAUGGGAAUAUUUGCUAAAGAUUCAUCGCUGAUAGAUAGGCAUGCGUUCCAUUAGGCAGUUGGCGGGGUAACGGCCCACCAAGGCGACGAUGGAUAGGGGUUCUGAGAGGAAGGUCCCCACAUUGGAACUGAGACACGGUCCAAACUCC
rnacentral:rRNA from 1 species